GGGAUAACAUCUAGAAAUAGAUGCUAAUACCGGAUAGGUCCCGCAAGGGGUAAAGAUUUAUCGGUUUGGGAGGGCCUGCAUACUAUCAGCCUGUUGGUAAGGUAAUGGCUUACCAAGGCUAUGACGGUUAACUGGUCUGAGAGGAUGAUCAGUCGCGAUGGGACUGAGACACGGCCCAU
rnacentral:rRNA from 1 species